rnacentral:rRNA from 1 species
UACGUAGGGUGCGAGCGUUGUCCGGAAUUAUUGGGCGUAAAGAGCUUGUAGGCGGUUUGUCGCGUCUGCCGUGAAAGUCCGGGGCUCAACUCCGGAUCUGCGGUGGGUACGGGCAGACUAGAGUGAUGUAGGGGGAGACUGGAAUUCCUGGUGUAGCGGUGAAAUGCGCAGAUAUCAGGAGGAACACCGAUGGCGAAGGCAGGUCUCUGGGCAUUAACUGACGCUGAGGAGCGAAAGCAUGGGGAGCGAACAGG